GUUGAAGAACGUAGUGAAAUGCGAUAAGUAAUGUGAAUUGCAGAAUUCAGUGAAUCAUCGAAUCUUUGAACGCACAUUGCGCCCGCCAGUAUUCUGGCGGGCAUGCCUGUUCGAGCGUCAUUACAACCCUCAGGCCCCCGGGCCUGGCGUUGGGGAUCGGCAGAAGCCCCCUGUGGGCACACGCCGUCCCUCAAAUACAGUGGCGGUCCCGCCGCAGCUUCCAUUGCGUAGUAGCUAACACCUCGCAACUGGAGAGCGGCGCGGCCAUGCCGUAAAACACCCAACUUCUGAAUGUUGACCUCGAAUCAGGUAGGAAUACCCGCUGAACUUAAGCAUAUCAAUAAGCGGAGGA
rnacentral:misc_RNA from 1 species